GAUGAACGCUGGCGGCGUGCCUAAUACAUGCAAGUCGAGCGAACAGACGAGGAGCUUGCUCCUCUGACGUUAGCGGCGGACGGGUGAGUAACACGUGGAUAACCUACCUAUAAGACUGGGAUAACUUCGGGAAACCGGAGCUAAUACCGGAUAAUAUAUUGAACCGCAUGGUUCAAUAGUGAAAGACGGUUUUGCUGUCACUUAUAGAUGGAUCCGCGCCGCAUUAGCUAGUUGGUAAGGUAACGGCUUACCAAGGCAACGAUGCGUAGCCGACCUGAGAGGGUGAUCCGCCACACUGGAACUGAAACCCGGUCCAGACUCCUACGGGAGGCAGCAGUAGGGAAUCUUCCGCAAUGGGCGAAAGCCUGACGGAGCAACGCCGCGUGAAUGAUGAAGGUCUUCGGAUCGUAAAACUCUGUUAUUAGGGAAGAACAAAUGUGUAAGUAACUAUGCACGUCUUGACGGUACCUAAUCAGAAAGCCACGGCUAACUACGUG
rnacentral:rRNA from 1 species